UCUUUCUCCAGCAGCGCAAUGUGAUCCACCGGCAAGGAGGGACACCAAUAAGGUGUCCGAUAAGAUAAGUCUUAUAAAAUAUAUAGAUUUAUGAUCAUUGAGACUGAACUAACAGAUGUGGAUCCUAGUCAUUGGCCAAGCAGCAUUUGAACCUAAUACAAGUCUCUCUGUGCAUUAUUUGGGUCCUAACUUGGGCGGGCAGCUGGCGUAGAGUGCACACGUGGUGGUGGGGCUCCGAGGCUUUGGCAGAAAGAUUUAUCGUAACCCCUGCUUGCUUUAGACACCUUGUCUAUCCUCAUUCAACUGUUUUCUCAACCCCUAUACAGCUGAGGGCUAUUUAAGACCUUUGCUCUACCCUGCCUGGCCCUUACAUCUUAAUUGUCAAAAUAAAAAAUACAUAUUGCCGGUGUCUGUGGCUCAGUUGGAUGUUGAGGUAUACUGCUAACUGGAAGAUCAAUGGCUUGGCCUGUGAUUGUAGCUUAGUUUGUAGAGUGCUUGCCCUGUAUGCAUAAACCCAGGGUCCAUCCCCAGCACCACAUAAACUGGGUAAUACAUGCCCAUAAUCUGAGCACUUUGGCAGUGGAGACAGGAGGAUCAGAAGUUUGUGAUGGACCUCAGCUACAUAAUAAAUUCAAGGCCAGCCUGGGCUACAUGAGACACUGUCAAACAAACCGUCUGAGUUUCUGGGCAGAACAGUGGUUGUUCCGUGACAAUGGUUCUGUCUUUUGUAUCUUGGAGAGCUGGUUGUACAAAGGUGGAAGAAAUGUGAUUGGAACAUCCCACAGCUAAAGUAUUUUUAAUGAAACUAUUUGUAAAUGGCUCAGAUGGCUUCAUGGACUAUUCUCCUUUCUCCUUUGGAGCGAGGUGUUCUUCUGAGACCAUCUAGUAUACAGCCAUGGUCUCACCACUGCGCCAGCCUCAAAGCCGCUACCACCAUUGCUGUCUGCUUACCUCUCCCGUGAUCCUUCUGGCUUCACAUCUCUCCAGUGAUUGCUGCUGCCUUCUUGCCACUCUCUCUCUCCAACUAGAGAACAGGAUCCACGCAGACAGUGACUGGUGUCUGUUUUGUUCCUGGCUGCAUGCCCAGGCCAACAAGAGCACCCACACAGUACUGACCCUCGUGCAGGCCUGUUAAGUGAAUGAAUUAAUGAAUGAUUACUCCACAUGGAAUUAGCAGUUGGAUCACAAGAGUCUUCUCAGCACACACAAGCAUUGCCCAUCACGCCUGUCAUGACAUGCAGAGCCUUGCCUUUCUGAAGAACAACACAGGCAGAUCUCCAAGUCCUUGG
rnacentral:lncRNA from 1 species